rnacentral:rRNA from 1 species
UUCGCAAUGCCCGAAAGGGUGACGAAGCGACGUCGCGUGGGUGAUGAAGGCCUUUGGGUCGUAAAGCCCUGUCAAGAGUUAAGAAAGCAGCUAGUCUGUUUGACGAAGGCUCUAAAGGAAGUCACGGCUAACUCCGUGCCAGCAGCCGCGGUAAUACGGAGGUGGCAAGCGUUGCUCGGAAUCACUGGGCAUAAAGGGCGUCUAGGCGGAUCUGUUAGUCGGCUGUGAAAUCCCUCGGCUUAACCGAGGAAGUGCAGCCGAUACUGCAAGUCUUGAGGGCGAGAGGGGAGAGUGGAACUCCUGGUGGAGCGGUGAAAUGCGUAGAUAUCAGGAGGAACGCCGGUGGCGAAAGCGACUCUCUGGCUCGUCCCUGACGCUGAAGCGCGAAAGCUAGGGGAGCGAACGGGAUUAGAUACCCCGGUAGUCCUAGCCGUAAACGAUGGGCACUAAGUAGAGGGAUUU